GGGCAACCCGAUAUUUUGUGUCCAGUGCGCGAAAACUUUUCCGGUUCUGCCCCAAUCUCUGCGUCUCUUCCAAUCAAACAUUAUUUCAGGAAAUAGGUAAAUUCCAAAAUAAGAUGAAAGAGCACGGUU
ensembl:ncRNA W04D2.8 ncRNA